UCAACCAACCAACCAACUGACUGACCAUCCAAACAUCCAACUGACUACACUCAAUCAACCGACCGACCAGUCAACUGACCUGUGAACAUCCAACCAAAUGACCAAAUAUUCCACCAAACAAACCAGAUAACUUUAACAAACUUUGUGAAUCUAAAUCUUUAAAAAUUGGAUUCAAUAAACCAGGUUCUUCAGUUUUCCUCCCAGAGAAACAGAAACAUGUUUUGUUUCCUUCUAACAGAUUAAAAAAUAAUAUUAGCAAAACAAGUUCUGCUGUUUUCCAACCCAAACUGUUUCCCUGCAGUUUCAAUCAGACCCGAAACCCAGAACCUGAGUAAAACCCAAUAAAUCAGAACCCCUGGAGCCCGAAGAACACGCUGGACUGAUGAAAUCCUGAUUUUGAUCUGAAUAAUUAACGGCAGCUGAGUGAAGCCUGCGGUUCAGAGGAACCCGGCUGCAGGCAGUUUGUUGGACGGAGAGGAGUUUAUCUGAUGGUAACGCUCAUUAUUACCACUCAGCUGAGAGUCAGUGAACGCAGCAGCAGCAACAAAAAGCAGGGAGGUGACACAGAAACACAAACAGUGCAGAUUUAACUCACGAUGAGACCAGAAACAAAGAGAACUUCUUCUGUUCUGAUUCGUUUACAUUCUGAUGAGGUGGCCCACCCCCAUACCCCGCUCUGAAGACUCAUUAAACAGAACCAGGACACUAAUGGGAUUAUUUGUGAUAAACACAAAAAAUACAAGUGUUCGUCUAAAGUGAAUCAACCAUGUCAGUAAAAACACAGAAGUGCCUUUAAUUCAAUUUGUUAUUUUUCUGUUUCUGUCAAGAGCUCCAUUUCAGACAGCAGGAUUAGUGGAAAUCCUGAGUUAGUUCUGGGUUUUAGGUUUCAGAAAGCCAGAUAGCUGUUAUCCUGAGUCAACUUACCUCCACAACCCUGCUCUGUAGCAGGAUUACUGGAACAAAUCCUGAGUUUGUCUCACUUUUUAUCUGAGAGCCGCACCAGGACAGAGUCAGACAGAGGGCCAUUUUCUAAAGGAGCCUGUAGAUGUUGGAGCCUUGAUGCUCUAAUCUAACAUUAAUCCACAUCAGGACAGAGUGAUAAGACUGUGAUGAACAUUUGAGACAUUUCGAAGACUUCUGGUGAACAUUUUGAGACUUCUUAGAGACUUCCUAAUUAACGUUUUGAGACAUUUUAGAGACUUUCUGGUGAACAUUUUGAGACUUUUUAGAGACAUUCUGGUGAAUAUUUUUGAGACUUUUUAGAGAUGUUCUGGUGAACAUUUUGAGACUUUUUAGAGACUUUCUGGUGAACAUUUUGAGACUUUUUAGAGACAUUCUGGUGAAUAUUUUUGAGACUUUUUAGAGACUUCCUAAUUAACGUUUUGAGACUUUUUGAAGACUUUUGCUGAAUGUUUAGAGAUGUUUUAGAGACUUCCUGGUGAACAUUUAGAUACUUUUUAGAGACUUCCUUGUGAACAGUUUGAGACUUUUUUAGAGCCUUCCUGGUGAACAUUUGGAGACUUCUUAGAGACUUCCUGGUGAACAUUUAGAGACAUUUUGGAGACUUCCUGUUGAAAAUUUUGAGAAUUUUUUGAGGCUUCCUGGUGAGCAUUUUGAGACUUCUAAUAGACUGCCUGGUGAACAAUUUGAGACUUUUUAGAGACUUUCUGGUUAACAUUUUAAGACUUUUUGGAGACUUUUUGGUGAAUGUUUUGAGAUGUUUUAGAGACUUCCUGCUGAAUGUUUUGAGAUGUUUUGGAGACCUCCUGGUUGUUGGCAUGCUGUCAUAAACGGCUGAGGUUCAAACAGAUUCUGGAUUUUGUUUUUCACACCAAACGUCAGUUUUUGCUCGAGGAAGGAUCUGCGUUAAACAUUUAUCUAGAGCAGAAUUUCUUCAUCUCAAACUAAAAAAGCGUUAAAACAGUUGUUGUGGUUCUUUACUUGACAGGAAGAGGUGACAUCAUGCCACCAGGUUGACCUUUGACCUUCAUGUUUUAAAAUAUUCAUAUAUCUGAAUGUUGGCUGUUUUUGUUGUGUUUAAACAUAAAAAAGAACUAAAUCAACUCACCUCUCUGUCACGUUGCUGCUGCAGCUCGUGUCGACUGUAAAUCAGACAUCAGUGAGGUAAAAACGCAGCGUUUCCAGGCCGACAGGUAAUUACACCUGUCUCUGUCUGAACGUCAUGUCGUGUCAGAGCGAGCUCUUUAAGACAGCGUGACGGGAGGAAGAGGAGGAGGAGGAGGCGAGGAAGAGCAGACAAGUUGACAGCAGAGUAAAUAAACACCACACGUCUGUCCUCCUCCCAGAAACAAACUCUGUUCUCUGAUGACCUUUCAGUCUUCCAUCAUCGUCCCCUGGAGGCAGACAUGAAACACGUCAGCUGCAGAUGGUAGAAAGCAGGAAGAAGGACCUGCUGCUAUCAUCUGAACGCUCCAAAAGCACAAUCCUUUUCAUCACCUGACGAAAACGCUCUCAUCUCUGGAGCCAAGACAGCUGUGAUAUUUCUCAUGACUCAUCUCCGCAGACCUGAAGGGCUGCUCGGAGGAUUUUCAG